rnacentral:lncRNA from 1 species
UGGGUUGGACAAACCCCAAUAAUCUCCCACUCUAGUGCAUGGCGAGGUAUCCUCACAUCUAGUGCUCAACUAUCACUUAGUGCCACCUUUUUAUUACAAGACUGAUGUUUUUCAUGAGUUACCACCUUGGUCAACAUAUCAACCAAAUCAAUUUGAAUGAGCCAUUAGGAAGGUAAGCAUAUAAAAUAGUUCUAGAAAUAGAGAAUUUUAGUAAAUUUGGAAAUAAAUCAUGUAGCAAGUAGAUAGGAGCACAAGAGAAACUUUUGAUGAUGCAAUACCAAAACUGUGAAGAAUGAAUAAGACACUUAAUUUGUUAGUCAUGAACCGAGGAGGGGAGGGUACAUGUGUGGCUGAAGUUCAGCAGGUAUGCUGA